rnacentral:tRNA from 1 species
GUUUCCGUAGUUUAGCGGUUAUCACGUUCGCCUAACACGCGCAAGGUCCCCAGUUCAAUCCCGGGCGGAAACA